CCUACGGGAGGCAGCAGUGAGGAAUAUUGGUCAAUGGACGAGAGUCUGAACCAGCCAAGUAGCGUGAAGGAUGACGGCCAGAGGGGUGGUAAACUUCUUUUAUAUGGGAAUAAAACAGGGUAUGCAUACCCUCUUGUAUGUACCAUAUGAAUAAGGAUCGGCUAACUCCGUGCCAGCAGCCGCGGUAAUACGGAGGAUCCGAGCGUUAUCCGGAUUUAUUGGGUUUAAAGGGAGCGUAGGUGGAUUGUUAAGUAAGUUGUGAAAGUUUGCGGCUCAACCGUAAAAUUGCAGUUGAAACUGGCAGUCUUGAGUACAGUAGAGGUGUGAGGAAUGCGUGGGGUAGCGGUAAAAUGCUUAGAUAUCACGAAGAACUCCGAU
rnacentral:rRNA from 1 species